UUUUCAUGCACUGCGUAGGCUCAUACCGUAUUGAGACCUUUUGGUCUCAAUACGGUA
rnacentral:misc_RNA from 1 species